GUCCAGCUCAGUAGCCCUAGAGUUCCGGCCCCGGAGCGGAGCUUGUGCUGAGCAGAGGCGGGGCCUGGGGACUGGGCGUUAACAUCCCGCUUUGAACAGCCAGAGGGAUCCUUCUAAACGUACUGGGAUAUCAGAUGAUGUCAUGCCCUGGUCUCCACUUACCAAAAACUUCCCAGCACACAUGGAAUAAAAUCUAGCUCUGCACUCCUCUCCAACCUCACUCAUCUCCUUCAACAUUCCCCUCAUUCAUCAUUCUCCAGUCACACUAAUCUCCUUGCUGUUCCUCAAACCCAGCAAAGAAAGCUUCCACCUUGGUGCUUCGUAAUCUUCACACCAUCUCUAAAAGGCUGGAGUGCAAUGGCAUGAUCUCGGCUCACUGCAACCUCCGCCUCCUGGGUUCAAGUGAAUCUCCUGCCUCAGCCUCCUGAGUAGCUGGGAUUACAGGUGCCCGCCACCACACUUGGCUAUGAACCAGGUCAUUUUUAACAUUUUCUUCUGAAUCAGUUAUAUGUAUUAACAGUGGAAGAGAAAACAGUAUGACCAGAGAAAAAUAAAAACAAAACCUAGUUGGACCAACUAGCUAAGGCCAAAUCAAAACACACAAAACCAUUUACAAAAAUUAUAAAUCAUUUUUUAAAAGGAAAAACACACACAGAACCAGUCCGAAAUGGAUGAAUCUACACUGAUUUAGAUGGAGCCAGGUCAGAUGGGAGCUAGUUCAAACCAGAGGGAAUCAGAUCAAAACACAUCAAAGAAGAUGAAAAUGGAAUAAAGUAAAUCUGAUUAAAUCAUAUCAGGGAAACAGCCAUGCCAUUUGGAGCAAACUCCCAAAGAAACUCCUCCCUGAAACUG